GGCAGGGUUGUGGUUGCUGGCUGUUACCAGGACAACCGGAGGCGAUUGACCGUUAUCUGCGGUUUGGAGCCGUUAGCGGGAGAGGCAGAGAUAUUCAGAGGUCUUUUAGGAUGCGCUAAAGGGUCGUGAGGGCUCUCUUAAAAUUUUCUUCACAAGCGGUUAUCCAGUCGUGCCCCGCGGCCCUGCUGCUGGCCCCGGGGAUCUGAGUCGUACCCUCUUGUUUUUCUCUGAGUCAGUCUUAAGGUGAAAUGAAGUGUGGCCCAGUGGCUCCUCACUGUCGCUUCUCUAGUUUUCUGCCUCCUUUUAGAAAAUAGUGAAUUGAAAAGACAGGAUGAAGUGGACACAGCAUGUGAAGACAAUUCUUUCAAGAAGUUUGGCUGUCAAGGAAAACAGAGAAUGUGCUAAAGAACAUACAGACACAGAGCAGACAGGCCACCUUUGCAACCACAUGGAGGUUUGUCUGAUAUUGAAGCUAAAGAAGCUAAGCUGGAAGACAGAGAGACCAAGUCCUGAUGACAUUGUUUGAACCCAGAGAUCCAGACAUGCCUGAAAACUAGUUUUACCACUGGACUUAUCCGUUGAAUGAGCCAAUAAA
rnacentral:lncRNA from 10 species